AUUUUGAAACUGAGUUUAGACUAAGAAGCAAACUGGUGGUCACGUUUUACUUUCAUUUACUCUGAUAUGGCAUCGAUUCAGAUAUCCAAGCAAAUUUUUAGUUAACAGAAGAUCACAGUUUGAUGUAACUGUACACAUUUCGAGUAAAGCAGCCCAAAUCUAGAGAAUAUUGUUCAGAUAGUCCCGUGCAUGAGGAGACCAAAGAAAUGAUAUCUUUAGAGGAUAGGAUGGGAACACCUGAAACGUGAUUAAUUCCAGGAAAGGAUUGCUCUUUUCCCCCUUCUUCUGUAAACUUUCAGGACUCUAAUACUGCUUGCUGCCGAGUGGAAAGAGACACCAAGCCUGCUUCGACUGACCUAGAAAGUAGAGAGGUGGGCGAAACUGCUGAGAAAGCAACGAAACACAGAAACAUGUUCUAUGUGUUUCUCUGAUCAGAGUUGAGAAGAACUCUCUAUCAAAUAGCCAGGAAUCAUCAGAGAGAGGGUUCUACAUUUCUUCAGUAACCGCUUCUGUGUUAUUCCAAGAUGCUCUGAUGAGAAACUGUGCAUCAGAAGAAUAAUUUUUCCAAUUAGAGAAACAAGCAGAAAAUAGUUUCCUUUCCUACAGCACCACACCAAUGCACAUUCUAAUGGCCUUAUUCUAACCACCACCUCCCACACCUGCUUCCUCUGGGUGGACAGCUCAUCUCCAUUUGCCUGAGACUUUCCAGUUGCAGCACUGACUGUCUUUAUCCCAGGAAAGGCCUCAGUGCCAGGUCCUGAGGUGGUUGGUCACCCUACAGACACGGGAUGGGGAUUUGGAGGAGAAAGAAGAAUGUGUCCUAUCUGGGAGGUUGCAGAAGACUUUCUUGCCAUGAGAGGAGACAGGAAAAGAAAAGGCAUGGAAAUGAGAUGAUGCUGGGCAAUUUGGGGGACCAGCAAGUAUGGCUCUAGAGAAGAAUCUAUGGGAAAAGAUAAAUUAAGAAGAUUAGACUGGGAGUACAUUAGGGAGAAGCUUAAAUGCCCAGAUCCAGACAUGGAAAUUUAUCUCAUAGGAAGUAAGAAGCCAUCAAAUGAUUUCAAGCAAUGGAGUGAUGUAAUUUAAAUGAAACCUUAUCUAUUAAGCCAUCAAACGAUUAGUUUCCCUUUUAAUUAUUUCAGUCCUAUGUUACUUUCUCAUUCAUUAACCAAAAAUAUCUUAAUAUUUAACUUUAUAAUCACACAAAAGUCUCCAUUUUAGGGACCACGUUGCACCUUCUUGUCUCUUUUCAUUAUCUAGAGUAGUUUUAAACUAACAGGGAUGGCAAAUUAAGCUUCUUAAUGAUUUUUAUGAAUUAAUAUUAUCGGAAUACUUACUGUCCAAUAUAUUGUGUAUUUUUAUUUGAAAAAGUGCUGUUGUUAGACACCCUUCAAAAAAGGUAACAUAAUGAAAGAUUUAUAAAGUGGUAAUACCACUUUAGUUAUUUUUUUUCCUCCGUAGAUAAGCAGAUAUUUUUUCCCAGUGUAAAUAAAAUAAAUACUAAGGGUGGGAUAUUUCAAAAAGUUUAUAUUUGGUGUGCUCUUAAGCUUUUAGGGGUGAUAUUUGGUGACAUUUUAGAUUCUUCCUUACUAUGUCAGAUGGGACUUCAUUCAGAAAAUAAUCAAAACCACUUUCUGUCUAUAAAUCCCCAAGUGUGCUGAGGAAAAGUUAUCUUCAGUCUGUUGAAUCAUCAGUGAAUAAAGGCUAUUGUUCCUCUCUGA